rnacentral:lncRNA from 1 species
UGAGAUGGUGCUGACUGCUGAAAUAAACUACUCAAGAGCUAUAAGAAAAAUGAGAACUCAAGGCUAUGUCAUAACAAGUAUUCAAAAUGAUUUUCAUAUUCAGGAGAUUUAAGGUGUUAAAACGAUACCGAUCUUGUGAACUUUUCCCAAGUCUCUACAAACCAACCUCAAAUUAUUCUAUAGCCUAAAACUUUCAACAAAAAUGCAAUUUUUUUUAGAAAGAAAACAAAAACAAAACAAAACAAAGAACAAAAACAAAGAAAAUAAAGUAUUCUCUCCCCCACACUUAAAAUAUGCAUUGUCCUCAAUGAAAGAAACAAACAUAAAAUAAGAGAGAGAAGAG